GUAUCAGCAGGUCAGUAAUAUGGUGUAUCAGCAGGUCAGUAAUAUGGUGUAUCAGCAGGUCAGUAAUAUGGGGUAUCAGCAGGUCAGUAAUAUGGUGUAUCAGCAGGCCAGUAAUAUGGUGUAUCAGCAGGUCAGUAAUAUGGUGUAUCAGCAGGUCAGUAAUAUGGUGUAUCAGCAGGCCAGUAAUAUGGUGUAUCAGCAGGCCAGUAAUAUGGUGUAUCAGCAGGUCAGUAAUAUGGUGUAUCAGCAGGUCAGUAAUAUGGUGUAUCAGCAGGUCAGUAAUAUGGUGUAUCAGCAGGCCAGUAAUAUGGUGUAUCAACAGGUCAGUAAUAUGGUGUAUCAGCAGGUCAGUAAUAUGGUGUAUCAGCAGGUCAGUAAUAUGGUGUAUCAGCAGGUCAGUAAUAUGGUGUAUCAGCAGGUCAGUAAUAUGGUGUAUCAGCAGGCCAGUAAUAUGGUGUAUCAGCAGGUCAGUAAUAUGGUGUAUCAACAGGUCAGUAAUAUGGUGGAUCAGCAGGUCAGUAAUAUGGUGUAUCAGCAGGUCAGUAAUAUGGUGUAUCAGCAGGUCAGUAAUAUGGUGUAUCAACAGGUCAGUAAUAUGGGGUAUCAGCAGGCCAGUAAUAUGGUGUAUCAACAGGUCAGUAAUAUGGUGUAUCAACAGGUCAGUAAUAUGGUGUAU